UCGGUCACUACUCCUAAGACCACAUAAGAGGUUUGCAAGUGUGAGCCGCGCAAAGAGAACAAAGGAAUGCGAUCCAGACGGUAGCCGAGAAUAAUGAGUUCUAAGAAGAAAAACACCACCGGCGCGUGAUUCCAUAGGCGAGGCAGUUGCUUUUUCAUUCCCGUUACGUCAGCCUAAGGAAGUGCACAAACGAGAUCAUAUCGAGUUCGCAAAAUUUGUCGCAUCGAAGCAGUAAACAGUGCAUUUAGUUUUCGAAUAAUUAUUCGUGGUUUUGUGCGCUUAUAGCAACAUUCGGUGGUGCAUUGCAUACAGCUGUGGUUUUGGACGGCGACGAGUUCGCGGAUUGACAGCCUAAGUGCAGUGACCGUACGCAUUUAAUUUGCGAGUUGUGAAAAGUGACUGCAUCGGCCAGUAACUCCUCAACCCUCGAGAAUCUAAAGUAUAAACAACUGCAAAAUGGCUGCUGAUCGCGUUUGUUUGGAUAUUCUGCGCGCAUACUAUUCGCUUUCAUCAGGCGAACUAGAAAUAAUGGAUAUGUGGAACCAGCAUCGAUCAAUCGAAGGCUCUAUCACAGACUCGCAAAUACCGGCGUCGGUGGAAACUUUCAUUGAUGCCAAUGCAACAAAAAUCUGGGAGCGCGAUUUGUAUCAACCGUUCCUGACUCUUUUGGAACACCUACGUCUAGAGGGGCUGAUUACAACAGAAUGGAAGAACAUGAUGGUAACCCGUAUUCUGAACCAACGCCCAACCCAACCAACGGGAGAAGGAGGAGUUGUGUGAGUACUUCGAAAAGUAUGGAAAAUAGCGAGCCGGCGCCCGGAGGCGCGAGCAGCUAAGGAGGCUCUCCACGCUCCCCAUUCCGCUCUCUAACAGAAGCCCGAUAAUGAAGUAAAUAAAGGAAAAAAACAUUCCGCCC